rnacentral:rRNA from 1 species
UGAGGAAUAUUGGUCAAUGGACGAAAGUCUGAACCAGCCAUGCCGCGUGCAGGAUGACGGCUCUAUGAGUUGUAAACUGCUUUUGUAUGAGGGUAAAGUUGGGUACGUGUACCCAUUUGAAAGUAUCAUACGAAUAAGGAUCGGCUAACUCCGUGCCAGCAGCCGCGGUAAUACGGAGGAUUCAAGCGUUAUCCGGAUUUAUUGGGUUUAAAGGGUGCGUAGGCGGCCUAUUAAGUCAGGGGUGAAAGACGGUAGCUCAACUAUCGCAGUGCCCUUGAUACUGAUGGGCUUGAAUGAACUAGAGGUAGGCGGAAUGUGACAAGUAGCGGUGAAAUGCAUAGAUAUGUCACAGAACACCGAUUGCGAAGGCAGCUUACUAUGGUUUUAUUGACGCUGAGGCACGAAAGCGUGGGGAUCAAACA